rnacentral:rRNA from 1 species
AAAGAAACCAACAGGGAUUGCCCUAGUAACGGCGAGUGAAGCGGCAACAGCUCAAAUUUGAAAUCUGGCGCAAGCCCGAGUUGUAAUUUGUAGAGGAUGCUUCUAGGUAGCGACCGGUCUAAGUUCCUUGGAACAGGACGUCAUAGAGGGUGAGAAUCCCGUAUGUGACCGGCCCGCACCUUCUACGUAGCUCCUUCGAAGAGUCGAGUUGUUUGGGAAUGCAGCUCUAAAUGGGAGGUAAAUUUCUUCUAAAGCUAAAUACCGGCCAGAGACCGAUAGCGCACAAGUAGAGUGAUCGAAAGAUGAAAAGCACUUUGGAAAGAGAGUUAAAAAGCACGUGAAAUUGUUGAAAGGGAAGCGCUUACAACCAGACUUCUGGGCGGUGUUCCGCCGGUCUUUUGACCGGUCUACUCUCCGUCCCGAGGCCAACAUCAUCUGGGACCGCUGGAUAAGACCUUAGGAAUGUAGCUCCCCUCGGGGAGUGUUAUAGCCUCUGGUGAUGCAGCGCGUCCCGGGUGAGGUCCGCGCUUCGGCAAGGAUGUUGGCGUAAUGGUUGUCAGCGGCCCGUCUUGAAACACGGACCAAGGAGUCUAACAUCUAUGCGAGUGUUCGGGUGUCAAACCCCUACGCGUAAUGAAAGUGAACGGAGGUGGGAAGCGCAAGCUGCACCAUCGACCGAUCCUGAUGUCCUCGGAUGGAUUUGAGUAAGAGCAUAGCUGUUGGGACCCGAAAGAUGGUGAACUAUGCCUGAAUAGGGUGAAGCCAGAGGAAACUCUGGUGGAGGCUCGCAGCGGUUCUGACGUGCAAAUCGAUCGUCAAAUUUGGGU